rnacentral:lncRNA from 1 species
CUAAGAAUUGUUAUGAAUAAUAUAACAGAAUCAUAUAAAAAUCUAGCAACAAAUUUCAAAUUAAAAGCAGAUCAUUACAAUUACCAUUACAAGUACCAGAGAUGAAUUAAAAUAAGCAAAUAAAAAUGGAUCAGUUUUGCAUCCUUCUGUAAUGCCAUACUUCAGUAACAGUUUAACAGAGAAAAGGGUUGAAAAAUGUUAUCAAUAGCUGACCUUUGCAUAACACUUUAAAGUUUACAGUACAUUGAGAACAAUUAAGAUGCUCUAAUAUUAACAAGUAAUUCUGUUCCAAUAAAUCUUUCAAAGCCUAUCAUCACUUAUUAGAUCUUUGUGCAAGUAAAAAUCUGAGACUAUUUCUCAAAUGGCUAUCAUAUCAGAGAUAUUUUUAUUUCCACUGAUAAAUCUUUGAAUUUGAAACUACAAAUCAACACCUUUUUUCACAAAGGUUCAUUGGGCAUGUGCUCCACAUAUAAAUGAUAUAAAAAUCACUUUGUGAUUUUUGUUAUAGUCAUGAUGAAAAAUAAAUUUCCUUUAAAGUAGGGAUGGUAAACAAAGCAAUGACGAUACAUCAAAACAAACUUGUUUUCUUAUGGAACUAAAAUGAUUUCUAUGUAGUAACCGCAUGUUAACAUGCCUAUUAAGAGUACUUUUAAAUCAUUUGUAUAUAUGUACAUAGUGAAUAAAAAAAAAACCCAUAUAUAUGUAUAUGUAUGUAUAUAUGUAUUUGUGCAUGGCAUAGAGAUUACUUUUGGCACAAAGUACUUGCUUUUAAGUACUUUUUAAGCAAAGUACUGUUUAAGGUCAUGUUUCCAAGGACAAAUGAAUCAAAAAAGAGAUGACAUUUCAGAUUAUUUCAGAAAACACCAUAAUUUCGAAGCCAGGGGAAUUUACAGGAAGCUUAGUAGUAAAAAUUUUCUGGUUGUUUCGAGACAAGGUACUAAAUAAGUAUAACCUAACACAAUACACAAUUUUACCAUUUAAAUUAUAAUUAAAACAAUUUAAAAAUCAGUGUCUGUUAAACAAAAAAGGGCAUUAAAAAAUCAUAGUGUAUAUACUACAAUUUCAGAUCACAGAUCAGGAAAUCCUUCAAAUUUUAAUACAUUCAUUG